UACAGAGGUCCCAAGCGUUGUUCGGAUUCAUUGGGCGUAAAGGGUGUGUAGGUGGCGCCGUAAGUCGGGUGUGAAAUCUCGGGGCUUAACUCCGAAACUGCAUUCGAUACUGCGGUGCUUGAGGACUGGAGAGGAGACUGGAAUUCAUGGUGUAGCAGUAAAAUGCGUAGAGAUCAUGAGGAAGACCAGUGGCGAAGGCGGGUCUCUGGACAGUUCCUGACACUGAGACACGAAGGCCAGGGGGAGCAAACGGG
rnacentral:rRNA from 1 species